rnacentral:sRNA from 1 species
UCGAAUCCGGGCCGUAAGGGAAGAUUGG